ensembl:lncRNA
GAUCGUUGACAUCUUGCUCUGAUCCUGCAGUUACUAGUACUGCUCCCCACUCACCAUCCUCUUCCAUGCUGGAGGAACAAACAAGGGUUUAAUCAUAGAGGGACCAACACAGAAGGCAAAUAAAAAAGAAAAUGCUAUCAUUUCACACAAAGUGGAGCUGUGUGGGAGCACAGCUAGACAGUUCAUUCUUGGGUGAGAAACUCAGCUGUCGCCAAGCACAGAAAUGCGUAAAAGUAGUGGGAGUGGAGUUCAGUACAUUGAGCAAUGAAUGCAGGCCUGCUCUGUUUUGCUAAAUUACUACACUGCACAGAUUCAAUUAGUCUGAGACCACAUGCACACUGCAGCUAAAUGCGGAUGUCGCUCCCCAUCUGAGUGCUUGAUCUCAUUCUGUACACAGAGAGUUUGGUUUCAGCGAAUGAUAUUCUGCAGCCAUAUUUACUCCACAAUAAUGUUGUGAAGUGCACAAUGUCAGUUAGUCAGCAUAAUGUGCACAAACUGAAAUUGGACAUAACACUUCUGGAAUGUGUAUUUCUGUCAGACAGAGGACCAGUUCCGCUCUGUGACCUUCCUGGAGUAAAACCAAAAGCCUAUUUCAUCUCCUCCUUGAGCUGUGGCUUCUUGAACUGGGCUACAGGAGCGAGUUGCUGGGAAACCAGGCAUACACAGCCAAAUUGCUCAGUUUUGCCAGAUGUCUUGUGGAGUGAAUCAUGUAGCACUGGUGUCUGAACCAGCCCCACCACCUCCCCCAGUAUGCGCGGAGGCACGAACACAUACACAGAGCUACAGCUUGAACUUCAUACGGUUCUAAGGCCCUUUCAUUGUCAGUCAUACACUUGAGCUCCAACUCUUGCCAGAGGCUGUAGCGACACAAUGGAAGCUCUGUUUUUAAACCGAAAGCAUGGGGCACAGAAUAAGUUAUUCUUCUCUCUUUACAUACCUAUUUCUCUCUUCUUUUUUUUUUCUCAUGAACACACACCCACAUAAUCAAUUAACCUUCCUCAGCUCCCCAUAGGCCUUCAAAGUAGACCCCCUUAGUCAAGGAGAUUCUGCUUUUUAUGCACGUGACCUUGUCUGGUGUCAAAGAGCAACUGGUCCAACAGACAGACAGCCAUUUGAAUGACAUACCAUGAGUUAUAUAUACAAGCAGCAUUUUUUUGAUCAAAAAUAAAGAAAAAAAAAUGGUAGUAUUGUGAAAUAAU